CAGAUAGUGAAAGUAGAGACAGGUAGAGGCAGAGAGAGGUAGCAGAUAGAAGUAGAGGCAGUGAGAGGUAGCAGAUAGAAGUAGAGGUAGAGAGAGGUAGUUUAUAGAAGUAGAGGCAGAGAGAUAAAGUAGAGAGAGGUAGAGGCAGAGAGAGUAAGUAGAGAGAGGCAGUGGCAGAGAGUGGUAGUUGAUAGAGGUAGUGGCAGAGAGAGGUAGUGAUGGUGAGAGAGAGAGGUAGUGAUGGUGACAGAGAGAGGUAGUGAUGGUGACAGAGAGAGGUAGUGAUGGUGGCAGAGAGAGGUAGUGUCAGAGAGAGGUAGUGAUAGAGGCAGAGAGAGGCAGUAGAUAGAGGCAGAGGUCCUCUGUAGCUCAAUAGAGCAUGGUGUUUGCAGCGCCAGGAUUUUGGGUUAGGUUCUCGGGAUCACACAAAUGUAAAAAAAGGAUGGCAUAUAUGACUAUUAUAAUUAGCGGUAUUUUAAUAUAUUAUAGGAGAACAGAGAGUGGCAAAGAAACAGAGAGACUUGAAGACGAAGCAGAGAGAGGUAGCUGAUAGAGGUGGACUAUAGGGGAAGACAGAGGAAUGAAAUAGAGCCAUAGAAAGGCCAAUUAAUAAAGGUAGAGACAGAGAGAAUAGAGCAAUAGAAAGGCAAAUGAAUAGAGGUAGAGACAGAGAGAAUAGAGCAAUAGGAAGGCAGAUUAAUAAAGGUAGAGACGGAGAGAAUAUAGAGCAUAGAAAGGCAGAUUAAUAAAGGUAGAGACAGAGAAUAUAGACCAUAGAAAGGCAGAUGAAUAGAGGUAUAGACACAGAGAUUAUGGCCAUAGAAAGGCAGAUGGAUGGAGGUAGAGACAGAGAUUAGAGCCAUAGAAAGGCAGAUGGAUAGAGGUAGAGACAGAGAGAUUAGAGACAUAAAGGCAGAUGGAUAGAGGUAGGGACAGAGAGAUUAGACCCACAGAAAGGCAGAUGAAUAGAGGUAGCAACAGAGAGAUUAGAGCCAUAGAAAGGCAGAUGGAUAGAGGUAGAGACAGGGAGAUUAGAGACAUAGAAAGGCAAAUGGAUAGAGGUAGAGAGAGAGAUUAUAGACCAUAGAAAGGCAGAUUAAUAAAGGUAGAGACAGAGAGAAUAUAGACCAUAGAAAGGCAGAUUAAUAAAGGUAGAAACAGAGAAUAUAGACCAUAGAAUGGCAGAUGAAUAGAGGUAUAGAUACAGAGAUUAUAGCCAUAGAAAGGCAGAUGGAUAGAGGUAGAGACAGAGACAGUAGGCAGAGGAUGGUGCCUAUACACCAGUUCCUGGAACCAUAUACUUUAGGAGAGGCCUCUUAGUGAAGGGAAGGUGGUGGGCCAUUCCAUUCCUGGAAAACCCCAAGAGGACCAUGCUAAUGAGGAAAAUGUGGCCCAAGGCAUGUCGCUGCCUGCCUGCCUGCCUGCCUGCUUUCAAAAGCUUCCCUGCAGAGACCGAAGACUAUUUCUAGCAACAGCACUGCUUCUUAGAAGAACACUAUCUCGAACACUUGAUGGGGAUUUAGGCGGGAAGGGAACCUUCGAUAUACAGUAAAUAGCACUUAACGGAUUCAACAUGGGAUCAUUUGAAGACUUUAGUUCCAAAACGCAAUGUCCGCCAAUUUUUCACAUUUGUGUUUUUUAAUCAAAAAUCAUUGCUUAUGUGUACCUUCAUGUGGAUUCAGUGUUGGGGCGGUAAUCAAAAGGUUGCUGGUUUGAAUACCUGAACCGACAAGUUGAAAAAUCCUCCCAGAAGAUGUGUGUGUAAAAAAUUACUGUUGUCAGAUUUUUUUAUUCAUAGAUUUUAAAAUGUUUUUUUUUUGCAAAACGCUAUAUAUCCAUUAUUUAGCUGAAAUGGAAUGUCCGUAUGAUUUGAAAGUAGUCAGGUUACACUGAAGGGUUCCCUGAUAACUUCCAUAUAAAAAGCAGCAGAG
rnacentral:lncRNA from 1 species